rnacentral:rRNA from 1 species
UUGUAAGUGUUUAUGAGCGUACGGUGGAUGCCUUGGCACCAGGAGCCGAUGAAGGACGUGGGAGGCUGCGAUAUGCCUCGGGGAGCUGUCAACCGAGCUGUGAUCCGAGGAUUUCCGAAUGGGGAAACCCAGCACGAGUGAUGUCGUGUUACCCGCGCCUGAAUAUAUAGGGCGUGUGGAGGGAACGUGGGGAAGUGAAACAUCUCAGUACCCACAGGAAGAGAAAACAACAUGUGAUUCCGUGAGUAGUGGCGAGCGAAAACGGAAGAGGCUAAACCGCGGGUGUGUGAGAGCUGGCAGGCGUUGCACUCGUGGGGUCGUGGGGCCCUUCUUCCCAUCACUGUCAUGGUGGGCGAGAGUAAGAAACCGGUGUGUUAGUCGAAAUGGUCUGGAACGGCCUGUCGUAGAGGGUGAGAAUCCCGUAGACGAAAACAUGCCGGCUCUCGUGGAGGGUACCCGAGUAGCAGCGGGCCCGUGAAAUCUGCUGUGAAUCCGUCGGGACCACCC